AGGAGUUCUGGACAUCUCUAGAAGUCGCUCUGACACUGAGCCGCCCGAUCUUGAGCGGACGUGAAGAUUGAAAUCUGAAAUAAAAUUUGAAGGAAUAUUUAGAAGUACAAGCUUCCCCUUCAGCGUUUCCAAUUUAGCCUUCCCCCUCCCCACAUUUAACUGGCCUCCUUCUGGAAAGCUGGCCGGCUCUUCAAGGAUCAGGAUAACUCCUCCAGUUACACUCUAUAUGGAAGCUCUGGCAGUUACUCUGCUGUUUUUAUAUGAAGGUUUUAUUAAGUCUGUGCCAACAGCUUCCCGUCAGUGAAUCAGCUAAAGAUAAAAGUUUUUACUCAAGUGACAACUCUGUAAUAAAGGCAGUUUGUGUGUGUGUGUGUGUGUGUGUGUGUGUGUGUGUGUGUGUGUGUGUGUUAGAAGAUGGAGAUUUCCCCAUGACGGAUACUGGAUUUUCCUACAAACACACAUCAAAGGAAAAGCCUGUUUCUCAACUGGUUCUCAUGUUUUCUUCUAGUUGGCUUCUUAUCAAGAUGAUUCAGAAAAGGCUGCUGAACUGUGGUGCACAAACAAGGACAUGGGGUACUGAUGACUCAACCUUGUCAAAUCCGCUGGGGUUUCUCUGCAGAGCCCAGGGAGUGACUGUCCCCUUGAAAAGAUUCUCUUCUAUCAAGACAUGUGGAGAGAAACACAGGAAGGCCUGGUUAUAAAAACUAAAUGGAGAUUGCAUUUGUUUUGAAGCUCUUCUUAAAAUUGCUUUUAGCAUUAUGCUAUGUGUAUGGUAGUUGCUGAGGAGAGUAAAACCCAAGGUGGCAGCCGCAUUAUCCUCCCCUUUCUGAGAGUGGUACUAAUGGGCCCUAGAGGAGUGUCUUCUAAAUUUUAGUAAAAACUAAAACCUUUUAAUUGAUAAUUAAGACAUUUGGCUACGACUAUAAACUCAGAAAAACUUGUGAUUUUAGGCUUUCCAAUCAGGUCGGAACAUGUUUGUUUGUUUUUCAAAAUUAGGUCUGAUUAAAAAUAUUUCUAGUUGAUGGAAACUGGGUUGUUUCCAGUUUGGGGCUAGUAUAAAUGAAUCAGCUAUAAACAUUUGAGUACAAAUCUUUGGUUGAAUUUAUGUUUUUAUUUCUCUUGACUAAAGGAAAAGAGUAGAAUUGGUGGGAUAUCUAGGCAGUCCAUUUAUCCAUGAAGAAACUUCCACUAACAAAUGAUAUGAUCAAGAACCUCUUAUUAACAAAGCAUUGUCAUGAUCAGGAGAGAGAUCACCUGCCCCUUUCUCAUCAAGACAUCCUUCAUGGUCUUCCCAUCAUGGAUAGCCAACAAAGGCUUAGACCAUCCUGAGGACUUUAAAUCAACUGAAAAAUUCUGACUUAUGAUACACAAACUCUCUAGAAACUCAGAAUCUCCAUUCAUCUUUAUUUAUGAUACUGGUUCUAAGACUAGGCUUCCACGAAACACCAUUCUUCCACAAUUUUAGCCAAGGUAUUGUGCCAUUAAAUAUGAAUAAUAGCAGUCUUUCCAAUUUUUCAGAAAAAUACACUUAA